GAUGAACGCUGGCGGCGUGGAUAAGGCAUGCAAGUCGCAUGGGUUUAGACCCAUGGCAAACGGGUUAGUAACAUAUAGGAACGUACCCUCAAGUCAUGAAUAAUCCGGAGAAAUCCGGAAUAAUACAUGAUGUGCUCUACGGAGUAAAGGUUUACCGCUUGAGGAGCGGCCUGUAUCCUAUCAGCUUGUUGGUGAGGUAAUUGCUCACCAAGGCUAUGACGGGUAGGGGGUGUGAGAGCAUGGUCCCCAACAUUGGAACUGAGACACUGUCCAAACUCCUACGGGAGGCUGCAGUCGAGAAUAUUCCACAAUGGGCGAAAGCCUGAUGGAGCGACGCCGCGUGCAGGAAGACGGCCUUCGGGUUGUAAACUGCUUUUUUUAGGGAACAAAUUUUUGAGCUUACCUAAAGAAUAAGAGGUUACUAACUCUGUGCCAGCAGUAGCGGUAAUACAGAGACCUCAAGCGUUAUCCGGAUUUAUUGGGCGUAAAGCGUAUGUAGGCGGACAUGUUAGUCAGGUGUCAAAUUUUCGGGCUCAACCCGGAAACUGCACUUGAAACGGCAUGUCUAGAGAGAGUGAGAGACCAGUGGAACUCAUGGUGUAGUAGUGAAAUGCGUUGAUAUCAUGAGGAACACCAAAGGCGAAGGCAUCUGGUUGGCGCUCUUCUGACGCUGAGAUACGAAAGCGUGGGUAGCGAAUCGGAUUAGAUACCCGAGUAGUCCACGCCGUAAACGAUGCAUACUAGAUGUAAGAGGUAUCGACCCCUCUUGCGUCGUAGCUAACGCGUUAAGUAUGCCGCCUGGAAAGUACGAGCGCAAGCUUAAAACUCAAAGGAAUAGACGGGGAUCCGCACAAGUGGUGGAGCAUGUGGUUUAAUUCGAUGAUAAGCGAGGCACCUCACCAGGACUUGAAAACUAGCUGCAAGCCUUAGAGAUAAGGCCGCCUUCGAGGGUGCUAGUCAGGUGCUGCAUGGUCGUCGUCAGCUCGUGCCGUAAGGUGUUCCCUUAAGUGGGGCAACAAGGG
rnacentral:rRNA from 1 species